AAAAUGAUGAAGAAAAAGCCAAAAGAUGUCAAAGUGUUUUUGCUUCUUCCAUGUUUUUGUUCUGUUUUGAUUUGUAAUUUUCCUCCUUGCUUGUUCCCGAAUUGAAAGUAUUUAGAACAGCCAUGGCGCAAAUUGCAUUCGA
rnacentral:ribozyme from 1 species